rnacentral:rRNA from 1 species
CUGGCUCAGAUUGAACGCUGGCGGCAUGCCUUACACAUGCAAGUCGAACGGCAGCACGGGUGCUUGCACCUGGUGGCGAGUGGCGAACGGGUGAGUAAUACAUCGGAACGUGUCCUGUAGUGGGGGAUAGCCCGGCGAAAGCCGGAUUAAUACCGCAUACGAUCUACGGAUGAAAGCGGGGGAUCUUUGGACCUCGCGCUAUAGGGGCGGCCGAUGGCGGAUUAGCUAGUUGGUGAGGUAAAGGCUCACCAAGGCGACGAUCCGUAGCUGGUCUGAGAGGACGACCAGCCACACUGGGACUGAGACACGGCCCAGACUCCUACGGGAGGCAGCAGUGGGGAAUUUUGGACAAUGGGCGAAAGCCUGAUCCAGCAAUGCCGCGUGUGUGAAGAAGGCCUUCGGGUUGUAAAGCACUUUUGUCCGGAAAGAAAUCCUUGAUCCUAAUAUGGUCGGGGGAUGACGGUACCGGAAGAAUAAGCACCGG